rnacentral:rRNA from 1 species
GAUGAACGCUGGCGGCGUGCCUAAUACAUUCAAGUCGAGCGAAUGGAUUGAGAGCUUGCUCUUAUGAAGUUAGCGGCGGACGUGUGAGUAACACGUGGGUAACCUGCCCAUAAGACUGGGAUAACUCCGGGAAACCGGGGCUAAUACCGGAUAACAUUUUGAACCGCAUGGUUCGAAAUUGAAAGGCGGCUUCAGCUGUCACUUAUGGAUGGACCGGCGUCGCAUUAGCUAGUUGGUGAGGUAACGGAUCACCAAGGCAACGAUGCGUAGCCGACCUGAGAGGGUGUUCGGCCACACUGGGACUGAGGCACGGCCCAGACUCCUACGUGAGGCAGAAGUAGGGAAUCUUCCGCAAUGGACGAAAGUCUGACGGAGCAACGCCGCGUAAGUGAUGAAGGAUUUCGGGUCGUAAAACUCUGUUGUUAGGGAAGAACAAGUGCUAGUUGAAUAAGCUGGCACCUUGACGGUACCUAACCAGAAAGCCACGGCUAACUACGUGCCAGCCGCCGCCGUAA